rnacentral:rRNA from 1 species
UACGUAGGGUGCGAGCGUUAAUCGGAAUUACUGGGCGUAAAGCGUGCGUAGGCGGUUGGCAAAGUCAGCUGUGAAAGCCCCGGGCUUAACCUGGGAAUGGCGGUUGAAACUAGUCGACUAGAAUCUGGCAGAGGGGGGUGGAAUUCCACGUGUAGCAGUGAAAUGCGUAGAGAUGUGGAGGAACACCGAUGGCGAAGGCAGCCCCCUGGGAUAACACUGACGCUCAUGCACGAAAGCGUGGGGAGCAAACAGG